rnacentral:tRNA from 1 species
UAGAAUGAGGUGUAAUAGGUAGCACGGAGAGAUUUGAAUUCUCAGGAGUAGGUUCGAUACCUAUAAUUCUAG